rnacentral:tRNA from 1 species
GCCUCCGUGGUGGAAGUGGUAGACGCGAUGGACUCAAAAUCCAUUAGUAGAGAUACUGUAUCGGUUCAAGUCCGAUCGGAGGCACCA